rnacentral:lncRNA from 12 species
GGUGCUUUCCAAAAGUCGUCUCAUUAACAUAACAAAAGACACCUUUACUGCUCUCAUUACAGGAAAUUCCAAGGAUUUGAGGAGCCAUAUACCAGAAAGGAGGACAAAGACCAAACACAGAUUUCUUGUUACAAAUCACGAUAUCGCAGAAGGUCUCACAGAAUGUGCCUGGCAGAUUAGCCACCCCAGCCUCCAGGUCGAUAUCAAACAUAGAGCCAACUCUGUCCUCUUGAGGAUCUUGGACUCAGCCCACCCCUCAAGAAGCUGGUGGAGCUAGCAGGGGAUUUCUGGUCUGCCUGCUGCGGCCAGGAAUCCAGUGGGUGAGCCCUUUCCUUGGUUUCUAGGGCAAUUCUGUGUUGUGUGCAUUUGCUGACUUCUCCUGCGGCAGAUUCUUGUUGCUUCGGAUCUCUGAUCCAAGCCUAAUUUAUUUUUUCAGGCAUGGUAAGCGAUGUGAAGAUUGUUCAACAGACAACCCUGCGCCUCAGACCCCAGCUCUCCUGGGCUUGGAAACAAGCUGAAGAACAGGACCAGAUGUUCUUCCAGGAGGAGGAACAGCACAGCUUCCAGCCUUCGGUGUGGACUACACCAGAGGGUCCCUCAAGAUUUGGGAAUAAGCAGCUCCGCGUGGGGGAGGCCCUGCCUUGGUCCCUCAAAAGACGGAGUGAACGUGGACCAGACCGGCCACUGCCACCGCUGCCCAGACUCCUCGCCCAUGCUGGGGUGACAGUGCUGAUGGUCCUGGACAUUCUCUGGAUUCUGUCUUCCCCACGUUUGGGGUUUACUUAGUCUUCAAUCUGUAGAUGUACGUUUCUUUCUUUUUUUCCCUUCUUUCCAAAAUUGGGCAUUUUUCAGCCAUCAUUUCUUGGAAUACUCUUCCCCCUGACUCUUGACUCCUGACCCCUAGGACCCAGAGACACAGAUAGGAUAUCUCUUGUCACAGUCUCAACAUGCUCCUUCUGCUUUUAAUCUACUUUUCUCUCUAUUUAGCCUAGGUCGUUCCUAUUCCUCUUGCAUUUCACGGGGGAUGGAUUUCGUCCUCCAUUCCCUCCAUUCUGCUUCCUGAGAACCAUUCAGUGAGUCUUUUAUUUCCGUUCCUCUGUUGCUCAGUGU